rnacentral:rRNA from 1 species
ACCCUAGAGAUAGGGCUUUCCCUUCGGGGACAGAGUGACAGGUGGUGCAUGGUUGUCGUCAGCUCGUGUCGUGAGAUGUUGGGUUAAGUCCCGCAACGAGCGCAACCCUUGAUCUUAGUUGCCAGCAUUUAGUUGGGCACUCUAAGGUGACUGCCGGUGACAAACCGGAGGAAGGUGGGGAUGACGUCAAAUCAUCAUGCCCCUUAUGACCUGGGCUACACACGUGCUACAAUGGACGGUACAAAGAGUCGCGAGACCGCGAGGUGGAGCUAAUCUCAUAAAACCGUUCUCAGUUCGGAUUGUAGGCUGCAACUCGCCUACAUGAAGCUGGAAUCGCUAGUAAUCGCGGAUCAGCAUGCCGCGGUGAAUACGUUCCCGGGCCUUGUACACACCGCCCGUCACACCACGAGAGUUUGUAACACCCGAAGUCGGUGGGGUAACCCUUACGGGAGCCAGCCGCCUAAGGUGGGACAGAUGAUUGGGGUGAAGUCGUAACAAGGUAAA